GACUGAGACACGGCCCAGACUCCUACGGGAGGCAGCAGUAGGGAAUCUUCCGCAAUGGACGAAAGUCUGACGGAGCAACGCCGCGUGAACGAUGAAGGCCUUCGGGUCGUAAAGUUCUGUUGUUAGGGAAGAACAAGUACGAGAGUAACUGCUCGUACCUUGACGGUACCUAACCAGAAAGCCACGGCUAACUACGUGCCAGCAGCCGCGGUAAUACGUAGGUGGCAAGCGUUGUCCGGAAUUAUUGGGCGUAAAGCGCGCGCAGGCGGUUCUUUAAGUCUGAUGUGAAAUCUCGCGGCUCAACCCGCGAGCGGUCAUUGGAAACUGGGGAACUUGAGUGCAGAAGAGGAGAGUGGAAUUCCACGUGUAGCGGUGAAAUGCGUAGAGAUGUGGAGGAACACCAGUGGCGAAGGCGACUCUCUGGUCUGUAACUGACGCUGAGGCGCGAAAGCGUGGGGAGCGAACAGGAUUAGAUACCCUGGUAGUCCACGCCGUAAACGAUGAGUGCUAAGUGUUAGAGGGUUUCCGCCCUUUAGUGCUGCAGCAAACGCAUUAAGCACUCCGCCUGGGGAGUACGGUCGCAAGACUGAAACUCAAAGGAAUUGACGGGGGCCCGCACAAGCGGUGGAGCAUGUGGUUUAAUUUGAAGCAACGCGAAGAACCUUACCAGGUCUUGACAUCUUCUGACACCUCUAGAGAUAGAGCUUUCCCCUUCGGGGGACAGAGUGACAGGUGGUGCAUGGUUGUCGUCAGCUCGUGUCGUGAGAUGUUGGGUUAAGUCCCGCAACGAGCGCAACCCUUGACCUUAGUUGCCAGCAUUUAGUUGGGCACUCUAAGGUGACUGCCGGUGACAAACCGGAGGAAGGUGGGGAUGACGUCAAAUCAUCAUGCCCCUUAUGACCUGGGCUACACACGUGCUACAAUGGAUGGUACAAAGGGCUGCAAGACUGCGAAGUCAAGCGAAUCCCAUAAAACCAUUCUCAGUUCGGAUUGCAGGCUGCAACUCGCCUGCAUGAAGCCGGAAUCGCUAGUAAUCGCGGAUCAGCAUGCCGCGGUGAAUACGUUCCCGGGCCUUGUACACACCGCCCGUCACACCACGAGAGUUUGUAACACCCGAAG
rnacentral:rRNA from 2 species